CAGCCGCCGCGGUAAUACGGAGGGUGCAAGCGUUAAUCGGAAUUACUGGGCGUAAAGCGCACGCAGGCGGUCUGACAAGUCGGAUGUGAAAUCCCUGAGCUUAACUUAGGAAUUGCAUUCGAUACUGGGAAGCUAGAGUAUGGGAGAGGAUGGUAGAAUUCCAGGUGUAGCGGUGAAAUGCGUAGAGAUCUGGAGGAAUACCGAUGGCGAAGGCAGCCAUCUGGCCUAAUACUGACGCUGAGGUACGAAAGCAUGGGGAGCAAACAGGAUUAGAUACCCGGGUAGUCCCUGUCUCUUAUAC
rnacentral:rRNA from 1 species